rnacentral:rRNA from 1 species
UACGAAGGGGGCUAGCGUUGUUCGGAAUUACUGGGCGUAAAGCGUGCGCAGGCGGCUUCUCAAGUCAGGGGGUGAAAGCCCAGAGCUUAACUCUGGAAUUGCCUUUGAGACUGAGAGGCUUGAGUACGGGAGAGGUGAGUGGAAUUCCCAGUGUAGAGGUGAAAUUCGUAGAUAUUGGGAAGAACACCGGUGGCGAAGGCGGCUCACUGGCCCGUAACUGACGCUCAUGCACGACAGCGUGGGGAUCAAACAGG